GACGAACGCUGGCGGCGUGCUUAACACAUGCAAGUCGAACGGAAAGUGCUCUUCGGAGUGACUCGAGUGGCGAACGGGUGAGUAACACGUGGGUGAUCUGCCCUGCACUUUGGGAUAAGCCUGGGAAACUGGGUCUAAUACCGAAUAGGACCACGGCAUUCAUGUGCUGUGGUGGAAAGCUUUUGCGGUGUGGGAUGGGCCCGCGGCCUAUCAGCUUGUUGGUGGGGUAAUGGCCUACCAAGGCGACGACGGGUAGCCGGCCUGAGAGGGUGACCGGCCACACUGGGACUGAGAUACGGCCCAGACUCCUACGGGAGGCAGCAGUGGGGAAUAUUGCACAAUGGGCGCAAGCCUGAUGCAGCGACGCCGCGUGAGGGAUGACGGCCUUCGGGUUGUAAACCUCUUUCGCCAGGGACGAAGCGCAAGUGACGGUACCUGGAGAAGAAGGACCGGCCAACUACGUGCCAGCCGCCGCAGUAACAC
rnacentral:rRNA from 1 species